CCUACGGGUGGCUGCAGUGGGGAAUAUUGGACAAUGGGCGAAAGCCUGAUCCAGCCAUGCCGCGUGUGUGAAGAAGGCCUUCGGGUUGUAAAGCACUUUCAGUGGGGAAGAAAGCCUUGGGGCUAAUACCCUCGAGGAAGGACAUCACCCACAGAAGAAGCACCGGCUAACUCCGUGCCAGCAGCCGCGGUAAUACGGAGGGUGCGAGCGUUAAUCGGAAUUACUGGGCGUAAAGCGCGCGUAGGCGGUCUGAUAAGCCGGUUGUGAAAGCCCCGGGCUCAACCUGGGAACGGCAUCCGGAACUGUCAGGCUAGAGUGCAGGAGAGGAAGGUAGAAUUCCCGGUGUAGCGGUGAAAUGCGUAGAGAUCGGGAGGAAUACCAGUGGCGAAGGCGGCCUUCUGGACUGACACUGACGCUGAGGUGCGAAAGCGUGGGUAGCAAACAGGAUUAGAUACCCCAGUUAGUC
rnacentral:rRNA from 1 species